rnacentral:rRNA from 1 species
AUUGAACGCUGGCGGCAUGCCUUACACAUGCAAGUCGAACGGCAGCGCGGGGCAACCUGGCGGCGAGUGGCGAACGGGUGAGUAAUAUAUCGGAACGUACCCUGGAGUGGGGGAUAACGUAGCGAAAGUUACGCUAAUACCGCAUACGAUCUAAGGAUGAAAGUGGGGGAUCGCAAGACCUCAUGCUCCUGGAGCGGCCGAUAUCUGAUUAGCUAGUUGGUAGGGUAAAGGCCUACCAAGGCAUCGAUCAGUAGCUGGUCUGAGAGGACGACCAGCCACACUGGAACUGAGACACGGUCCAGACUCCUACGGGAGGCAGCAGUGGGGAAUUUUGGACAAUGGGCGCAAGCCUGAUCCAGCAAUGCCGCGUGAGUGAAGAAGGCCUUCGGGUUGUAAAGCUCUUUUGUCAGGGAAGAAACGGCAGUUUCUAAUACAGAUUGCUAAUGACGGUACCUGAAGAAUAAGCACCGGCUAACUACGUGC